UGAGUACACCUUCUAGUCAAAACAAUCACUACCCUCCUGUUACUUUUAGAGAUCACAGUCGUCAACACCUAAACAUAUUCCAAAACAACAGACAGGAGGGGAGGGAAAUCACUUUCUUCAGGAUUUACUGUUCUCUUUUAAGCCUGGUGAGAGAGAGGGGCUGUCAGGCCUUUACUAUUCAUCUGUUGCCUCCAGAGCCUCCCCCUCCCUCCUGUACAAGGAUGCUUACUGUUCCCAUGGCGACAGUGGACCACGCUCCCAGAAGCCAGGCCGGGGAGGAGGAAGCCGAGAGCCACAGACAUAAGCAGCCCCAACACACCUGACAGCCUGGAAAGGUAAGGGGGUGGGCGGGGCGAAAGGGCGUGACGGCCUGGUUCGGGAAACCCCACGGAGAGGGGAAACUCGUGUUUUUCAAGAAAUGGGAGGGGAUAAGAGGAAGGGGAGGUCACCUUGUCCACGCUCAGCUCGAGCCCGGAGGGGGCGUAUUUGAAAGGCACGUUACAGGAGAGCAGGUUCUCUGGGUGCAAGGAAAAACGAUAACGACUGCCACUCCUAUAGAGAGGCUUAGGGAAGGUUUCAUACACCUUAUCGAAUUUAAUCCUCACGACAUCCCAGAGGAAGGGGAUUUUACACAGGAUAAAAGUGAGGUUCAGAAAAGGGGCGGUGACUUGCCCAAGGUCAUACAUACUGUGCCAGAGCACAUCACGAUUCGAACCUCGGUCUAAGCCGUGCGGGUCCACGGCGCGUGGGGGUACAGGGAGUAGAGGGGUGGGGGUGCAAUCUGGGAUAGACCUCCCCCGCAAACCCGGGCUCUCCGGUCUGCGGCCCCGCCCCGAUCCGCCCUUGACCUUGGGCGCUGAGUUAUAGUUACCUUCCCGGAGAGAACACAGGACGAGGAGGCGGCGGCGCGGGCUCCUCCAAGCUCCUCCAGGCUCCCCCCGGUGCGGACCCGCGGAGGCUGCAGCCCCGGAGCCGGUGCCCCGCCGCCGCCGCCGCCGCCGCUCACCUGGCAGCCACAGGCGGCUCCCGCCCGGCCCAGGUUCACACUCAAGCUCGAGCACAGCCCUCGGGCGGCGGCGGCGGCUUCCGACGUUUGCCCGGGACUUUGCCGCCGCCGCCUCCUCCUCCUCCUCCAGCCCGGCCCCAGCCGGCGCCCCCGCCCCCGCUGUCUCCUCCGCGUCCCUCGGAGCUUCCGGGUGCCCCGCCCCCUGACGUCGGGAAUCCCCCCCCUUUCCCCGCCUUGCGGAAGCCCACGUGCGAGGUUUCCCCAGACCCCGAGCCGGAGCAGGCUGCAGACCCCUCCCCGUCCAGCGGACGCCAAAGGAGCUUUCCACGUCUAGCCUCCGCUGGAGCCUCCUAACAGGACUUUGAAAACUGGCUGUGGUGGGACAGAAGAGGACUGGAAGAGUAAAGGGAGGUUGUUAACCCAUUUAUUCUUUGCCUUCCCUUGUCAUGCAGUCCUCUCCCAGGGCUAGACCAGAAUUGCGAGUGGGGAAUAGAUCCCAGGCUGCAGAAGAGGAUUAUGAACCCCACCCUACAUCCAUUUGAAUUGAAUCUUUCUUGAAGAAGAUGCCUUAAGUUUGGUUUAAUUAUGCAAAAAAUUUUUCAAAAGAAAAAAAGAAAAAAAGCAGCAGCCAAAUUCAGUAAAUGAAAAAUGGAUCACAGUCCUAAAGAACUGAGAAUUCAAACAGGAAGAACUUUAUAAUCACUGCCAGAUGCAGUGACCAUAUUGGGUAUUCUUGUUUCACUGGUUAUCUUUGCUACACAGUAGGAUUCAAUUUGUGGGAGUUUUUCCCCCCAAAAAUGACUAUGAUAUACUAACAAAAUGUCUUUUAAAAACUUCCACGUGAUACUGAGUGAAUACUGAUGAAUAAGAACUUUGAAAAUUGACCAUUAGUGUCAUACAGAUGUAUGUUUUGGGGAUUUUUGGGGCAGCUUUUAUGGAUUUUUUUUUUUACACAGGAGGCAAAAAAAUAAAGCACAAGAGAUAAAAUACA
rnacentral:lncRNA from 1 species